rnacentral:rRNA from 1 species
UACGGGGGGGGCAAGCGUUGUUCGGAAUUACUGGGCGUAAAGGGCUCGUAGGCGGCCAACUAAGUCAGACGUGAAAUCCCUCGGCUUAACCGGGGAACUGCGUCUGAUACUGGAUGGCUUGGAUUUGGGAGAGGGAUGCGGAAUUCCAGGUGUAGCGGUGAAAUGCGUAGAUAUCUGGAGGAACACCGGUGGCGAAGGCGGCAUCCUGGACCAAUAUUGACGCUGAGGAGCGAAAGCUAGGGGAGCAAACGGG